AGUUAGCUGGUCAGAACCUACUCAUACUGGUCACAACUUGUUUUAAAGGUCAGAGCCUUCAAUCAGAACUCUGAGGUAAUGGUCAAGCCUGAGCACGUGCAAGUGAGGUAACUGUAGCUAAGAAUAGGAAGGUUAUAUAAAGAGAGAACUUCCAACAGCGAUUUCGGAGUUCGGAGUCUGUGUCUGAAGAAGGAGAGAGGCAUGCAGGGAAAGCCCAAAAGCCAACAAAAGAAGCCAAAGAGAAACUGCAGCAGAGAGACAAAAGAAAGCUGAAGCAGACCAGAGCUGACUGACCAGGAACUGAACAGCAAUAGCAGUGAUUUGUAAAAGAAAACAGCAAUGGAUUGAUAGAAAAACAGCAUCAACUCUAAGCCACAAUGGAAUGUAAGGAACUGCUUCCCUCCACAGAAGAAUUCAUGAGAUUUCUUUUAUUCCUGUUCACCAGUUUUCAACCUUCCAGCCACCACAAUAUUUUUUGCUGAUUGUACCAGGUUCACCAUUGGAAAUUUACGAAGUUCAGAGCAUUGACAACUCUAGCAGAAGUCUGCAAGUGCUCAGCACCCUUGUAAUGGGUGCUAUUGGAAGAACAAACAGGAAGGCAAUGGGAUGGUUUCCCAGCUAAGAACAUCUUAACACAUACUGUUAGGCAACGGAAGAAGCUCUUAUCUUCGAGAAUCUUACAUCCCAUCUCCAAAAAGUUGCACGCUUUUAUUGCUAGUGAUGAGACCUUCGCUAUCAACAGUUAAGAAGUCACAAUCCCUGAGGACCAGAGUGAUCAAAAAAGACUGAACGGCUUUUACAAGAGACUUUCCCUGAAGCAGGUUGGGAGACAUGAUUUGUGAGUUAAGGGAACAGAAAAUGCCAGUGAGACCCUAAAGGUGUUGGGAGGUCCAUAGGAAGCUUACAUCUUCCAGGAUCCUCAUGUUGAAGAUGGAUAGAUAUGUACAGACAUGUCUAGACUGUUUAUUUGUUUUAAGGCCAGCUUUCUCUGAAAAGCUUUAGUUCUAAAUUAAUAACACUUUGCUUUAAGAAAUCAGUUUGGUUACUGGAUACCACUGUCUCAGCUCCUGCAGUGAAGUGAACUGGAGAUACUGAACCUAAGGCAGGCCUGCUGAGGUAAUUGUGGCUGACCACACGGGGGACUGCAGAGCAGGGCCCACUCUGACAGUGGGAGAAUUGCGUGAUUCCACCUCAGAGAGGUGACGGUAUGAACUUGAAUGUGGGGGGUGUGCAUGUGGAAAGACCAGGAAGGGUCAGAGAUGCAGUAAGCCCAGUGGCUGUGACACAUUUCAUAAGUUUUUUGUCUGUUUUUUGUUUUUUGCUUAUGGCUUAUUCUCUUGUGUUAGUUUUAAACAAACAAACAUUUCAAAAAUAUAAUUAAAUGGCUUUUCUCACAUAAAAUAAUUAUUUUGUUCAGUCUGUUUGCGCUAUAGUAUGGAUUUACAUCUAUUAAGUAUUCAGCAUUGUUUUUUAUUCCUUAUCUCCCUUUGCUAUUUACUUUUCAGCUAAAUGAGAUUUUGUAUGGUGGGAAUUCACUGUUCAUGUUACUUUCCUUCCUUUGGUACCAUAUGUUGAAUUUUAACUUCUUAUAUUUUCCAACCCAUUCAAGCAGUUCAGAACAGACUAAUCAAGAAAAUCUACUUAGUUCUAGUUGAUGUUCAGUUAUGAGUAACAAAGGAUAGAAGUGUCCAAGGUGAACAAAAAGGCAUCAUUGACUAAAGACUAUUAUUUAUUUGGGUAAGGGAGAAUUAAUUGGGUGCAAUGGUAUAUUGCAAAAGCUCACUCAGAUUUGAAAGCCAAAAGGGACCAUUGUGAUGACCUAGACUGACUCCCAGUAUAACACAGGCCAUAGAAUUUCACCUUGUAAUUCCUAUAGUGAAGAGAGUUAUUCUUCCUAGGAUAAAGUUAGUUGAGGGGAAAAUGUCCAGUGCUUCCCCCAAACAGCAUUGCACAAUGGCUAGAUGCAUUACAAGGUUAUGAGGUACAAUCAUCUGGUGCCAGAUUAUGAUACCCUUACUCACAUUGAGUAAUACCCUACAGCACAAGCAGUCCCAUCAUCUUAAAUGAGACUACUCAUGGUGUAAGUUAUAAUACAAUGAGAGCAAAAAUAUAACAAUAUAGGUUCUAGCUUUGAAGCAUCAGGUGCUUGCCACAGCUAGAAAAAUACUGGAUCAUAUGGUCUAAUCUAGCAUCGAUAACUCUAUGUUGCUACAUUUCUACUAUGUCAAUAUUUUUUCUUUAUAUUUUCAGACUGCUUUCUUUAUGCACUAUCGGUUAUCCAUGCAUUUAGUUUCAGAAACAAGCUUAGUUCGUACAGUCUUGUAUAUAGGACAAUCAGUAGCUGGUGAAAGCAGAAGAUGUGUCUUCAUGAUGUCUUCACGAACAAGGUCAGCUCCCAGACUGCUGCACUGGGCAGCACAGCAUGGGUAGGAGGUGACCGGCCCUCUGUGGAGAAAGAAGUGGUUAAGGACUAUUUUGAAAAGCUGGAUGAGCACAAGUCCAUGGGACCAGAUGCACUGCAUCCGACGGUGCUAGGGGAGUUGGCAGAUGUGAUUGCAGAACCAUUGGCCAUUAUCUUUGAAAACUUAUGGCGAUCGGGGGAGGUCCCGGAAGACUGCAAAAAGGGUAAUGUAAUGCCCACCUUUAAAAAAGGGAAGAAGAAGGAUCUGGAGAACUACAGGCAAGGAAUCAAUCUCAAGGAAUCAAUUCUGAGGCACUUAGAGGAAAGGAAAGUGAUCAGGAGCAGUCAGCAUGGAUUCACCAAGGGCAGGUCAUGCCUGACUAAUCUAAUUGCCUUCUAUGAUGACAUAACUGGCUCUGAGGAUAAGGAGAAAGCAGUGGAUGUGUUAUUCCUUGACUUUAGCAAAGCUUUUGAUAUGGUCUCCCACAGUAUUCUUGCCAACAAGUUAAAGAAGUUUGGGCUGAAUGAAUGGGCUAUAUGGUGGAUAGAAAGCUGGCUAAAUCAUCAGGCUCAACGGGUAGUGAUCAAUGGCUCCAUGUCUAGUUGGCAGCCGGUAUCAAGUGCCCCAAGGGUCGGUCCUGGGGCCAGUUUUGUUGAACAUCUUUACUAAUGAUCUGGAUGAUGGGAUGGAUUGCACCCUCAGCAAGUUUGCGAAUGACACUAUGCUGCGGGGAGAGGUAGAUAAGCUUGAGCGUAGGGAUAGUGUCCAGAGUGACCUACACAAAUUGAAGGAUUGGGCCAAAGAAAUCUGAUGAGGUUCAACAAGGACAAGUGCAGAGUCCUGCACUUAGGACGGAAGAAUCAGAUGCACUGCUACAGACUAGGGACCGAAUGGCUCGGCAGCAGUUCUGCAGAAAAGGACCUAGGGGUUAUAGUGGACGAGAAGCUGGAUAUGAGUCAACAGUGUGCCCUUGUUGCCAAGAAGGCCAAUGGCAUUUUGGGAUGUAUAAGUAGGGGCAUUGUCAGCAGAUCGAGGGAUGUGAUCAUUCCCCUCUAUUUGACAUUGGUGAGGCCUCAUCUGGCAUACUGUGUCCAGUUUUGGGCCCCACACUACAAGAAGGAUGUGGAAAAAUUGGAAAGAGUCCAGCGGAGGGCAACAAAAAUGUUUAGGGGUCUGGAACACAUAAUUUAUGAGGAGAGGCUGAGGGAACUGGGAUAUUUAGUCUGCAGAAGACAAGAAUGAGGGGGGAUUUGAUAGCUGCUUUCAACUACCUGAAGGGGGGUUCCAAAGAGGAUGGAGCGAGGCUGUUCUCAGUGGUGGCAGAUAACAGAACAAGAAGCAGUGAUCUCAAGUUACAGUGGGGAAGGUUUAGGUUGGAUGUUAGGAAAAACUUUUUCAAUAGGAGGGUGGUGAAGUACUGGAAUGGAUUACCUAGGGAGGUGGUGGAAUCUCCUUCCUCAGAGGUUUUCAAGGUCAGGCUUGACAAAGCCCUGGCUGGGAUGAUUUAGUUGGGGACUGGUCCUGCUUUGAGCAGGGGGUUGGACUAGAUGACCUCCUGAGGUCACUUCCAACCCUGAUAUUCUAUGAUUCUAUUUGCUAUCUUUACAUAGACUAGUCUAAACAUAAUUAAUGAAAUAAAUAAACAACAACUAGCUUUUAUACAGCCCUUUUCAUCUGCAGAACUUUAAGUGCUUUAUAAUCAAGGUAGGUACCACUGUCACUAGUUUACAAAUGGGGAAACUGAGUCAGAAAGGUGCAAUGACCUACCCAAGGUUACCCAACAGGCCACCUGAAGAGCCAGGAGCAGAACCCUAGAGCGGUAAAGUAAAACAGUUAUACUGAGAAAUUCUUAUUUAAUAUAAAAGAGUUUGACAAAUUAUUACUGUUCUAUUACAUUAUUUAAAUAUUUUUUGUAUACUGGAAAGGUUUGUUUUUAAACCAAAGCUAUGAGUACAGAUUUUUUUUAAAAAAGUUAUUUUUCAGUUUGCGUGACUUUACCUUCAAGAAUACAAAAAAAAAAACAAAAACCCAAAACCCAUGAGUUAUCAAGGAACAUAUUUUGUGAAUUUAAUUGAAACUAAAAACUAGUGAUUUUUCUUGAAAUCUGAAGGGGGAAAAAAUAUUGUUUGUCUACCUGCAUCCUUCUUAAGUGACAGUAUUCAGGCUAGCCUGAGUCCAUCAGAACAGCCAGUAAAGAAAACCAUUGUUCACUAAUUUCCUUGUGUGUGAACAUGGCAACUAAGCAUGGGACAUAGGAGGAGGAGGAAAGUAUGUUCUUUUGCACAUCAGGGAAGGUCAGAAUACACAGAGAAAAGAUCUAGAUCUUUUUGAAUACAAAUUUGUAUGUAGGGGAAUUUGGGAACUGGUUGGGGUGUGAUGAGGAGGUCCAUGUCUCCCCCCCGCCUCCUAAAAUGUUGGUUGGGUUGGGAAAGAAAGAUGCUACCUGAAUAAGACAUGGUUCCUAAAGCUGACAGCCUUUAGUUAGACAUUUUUACUGCUGAAAUGUGCUAGCCAUACCAUUUCUAAAUGGACAGAAAUAAAUCAUUUAUACUUCCUUUCAGUUACAUGCAAACUAGUUAGAUCUGCUACUGUAUAUUCUUCUUAUCAAAGGGGAAAUUGCCCUCCUCAAAUGUCCAACUUUUAAGAGAAAGCCACUAGAGCCAAGUGUUUUCCCAGCUAUGUAUCUGCCAUGAAGCAUUUUGGAGGUAUCAAUGUUUUAGUCUGUGUCAGUAAUUCCUUACAUUAAACCAAAAACAUUAACAUCUGAUCAAUGUUUAAGACAUGGUUAUUACUGUACUUGGAUAAUGAUCUAAAAAUCAAAUGUAAAAGACUGCUCUCUUGAAUUGCAGUGCUGGAGACUUUCGAAGGCAGCAUCACCAUUCCUGGGGGGUUGAGUAACCACAUCUAUCUUCUUCAUUUAAACCACUGAAAUUAUUCACAUUACUUUUGCAAUUAAACUAAGAAAAUAUGGAAUUAAUUGCCAUUCAAAAACUAUAAAAUUGAAGAAAAUUAAAUUCAAAACUAGAUUGGAGACCAAGUUUUGUAUUGUGGCCAGUUCUGUGUGCAUUGCACAGAGAUAAGAUAGAAGCUAACAUAAAGAUCAGACUUAUUAUUAGUCUGUGUUUAUGUCUGUGUGGUGGUGAUACCCAUUGGGUAAAUUGCAAAGCAAUAGCAAAUUGUUUUGACCAUCCUACCUCCACCUUGCCAUGUAAUCUGUCCCCCCAGAAGUCCAGUAAACCUCAGAACACUUUGAAGCAGAAGUCAA